rnacentral:tRNA from 1 species
GGAGAGGUGGCUCAGAGGUUAAGAGCUCUGGCUGUUCUUCCAGAGGUCCUGAGUUCAAUUCCCAGCUACCACA